rnacentral:lncRNA from 14 species
GGGGAAGGGUCUGUAAUUGUCUCAAGAGGGGUGGGUCCUUGCCGUCGUUUUGGUGGGAAGGGUCUGUAAUUGCCUCAAGGGGGGGGGGUCAGUGCCGUCGUUUUGGUGGGGAAGCGUCUGUAUUUUCCUCAAGGGGAGGGUUGGUGCCGUCGUUUUGCUGGGGAGGGUCUGUAAUUGCCUCAAGUGGGGGGUCGGUGCCGUUGUCUUGGUGGGGAAGGGUCUGUAAUUGCCUCAAGGGGGGGGGGGUCGGUGCCGUCGUUUUCUUGGGGAAGGGUCUGUAAUUGCCGCAAGGAAGGUGGUCCGUAAUUGCCUCAAGGAGGAGGGUCGGUGCCGUCGUGCUGGUGGGGAAGGGUCUGUAAUUGCCUCUGAUGGGGAAGGGGUCGGUGCCGUCAGGGAAGGGUCCGUGUCCGCCGCGGGCCGGGCUGGCUGGGGUCGGUCACCGCCGUCGGGGCUCGGCGAGCGCCGCUGGCCCGGCCGAGCUCUGCCUCUUCCCGGGAGGAGCGGUCAGGCAUUGCCGAAGGAGGUGCAGCAGGACCAUGGAGUAUCCAGUCUCCACCUGGAGCGUCCCGGAGCAGCAGAGAGCUCUUCGCCCUCGUUCCUGCAGGGAUCUCCGGAGCACCCAUCCCGUGAGAGGAGCCGAUCGACAGAGGAGGCAUUCGUCGUGUGAGGCUGCGAGGCAAGAGCGAGCGGGGAAAGCCCAGGAGGCUGAAGAGGAGCGGAGCAGAGUUGGGGGAAGCCCAGGAGGCUGAAGAGGAUCAGAGCGAGCGGAGGAAGCCCAGGAGGCUGAAGAGGAGCGGAGCGGAGUUGGGGGAAGCCCAGGAGGCUGACGAGGAGGAAAGAGAAAGGUACUCUCGGUACAGGACCUCCCUGUCACUGGGGCUGGGGUCACACAAGGGCGUCACCGGCACCUUUGGGUUGCCCUGGUGGCUGGCUUUGAGCUGGGUGCCCUCCCUGUAACGAGGGUUGGGGUCUUUGCUUUUACCGUGUUGCUCCAUGGGUGGGUAGCCUUCCCGGAGAGAGGGGCAACCUUGUAAGCAAGGUAAUAGCCACCGUGUCCACAGGCUGGGGUGGGGGCAAGCGGAGCUCCUGAAUAUGGGGCAUUGUGCUGCAGCCA